rnacentral:lncRNA from 1 species
CAUAUUUGGGAGACUCAAGGUGUUAAAACGAUAUCGAUCUUAUGAACUGUUCCCAAGUCUCUGCAAACUAAUCCCAAAUUAGACUAUAGCCCAGAACUUUCAAAAAGAUGCAAAAAAAAAAUUUAUUUUAUUUUUAUUUUUAUUAUAAUAACUGAAAAAAAAAACAAAAAAAAACAAAGGUCUCCCUCCCCCAGACUUAAAACAAGCAUUGUCCUCAAUGAAAGGACAUAAUUAUUAAAGUAAAGAGAAGGAAAGGACAACUCCCUGAUCAAGUUGCAGUAUAGUUAGACGCUUCCAAAGAAAGCUCCUCUAUACCGACAUCUUCAGGCACCGAACCUCCAUAGAAUAACUUCAGACGCUGCCCGUUAACCUUAAA